UAUCAUGAAAAAAGACUUUGAUUUGCAAUGACAGAGAUUUGAAUUCUCAGAUUAGCAUAGUUCGCUGAUGUGCCAACAUUACUUGUCUGUUACUGGCACUCUAUGAAGUAACAUACAAAAACUUUUGGCUCCUUGAUCAUUUGUAUGAUAUUCCUUCUGUUUCAGGAAAGAUUAUGUACACAUGAUAUGUUAUCGGUAAUUAGAUGCUAACCUCUGCUCAUUCUUAAUGCACUUUAGUUUGAUGCUCUUACACGAAUGUGAGUUUAUUUUACAUCAGUUUCAGUAAUAUGUUCAUAAGUUUUGUUGUCAUUUCAACUUUUUAUACUCUUCUGGGUCAAGUUUUGAUCAGCAUUAAUUUUGCAUCUGCUUCAAUCAGUGGAGGGUUAGAGGUGCGUAAGCGGGAAAAAUAGCAGCUUGUCCAGAUUCCAAGGUGCAGUAUCUCCUUUUUCUGGAAGGUGUACAACGUGUGGUUCAUAAUGCAGGUUUCAGCCAUAUAAAUGGUCAUGGACUCUUGCAUGGUUGCAUAUCACAGAGAACAAAGGCCUCUGUUCCUAGUCUUAUUUGAUAGCAUGUCAUUUACCUAUGCUAUUGCAAGACUCAGAGUCGAGAUUGAAAAAGAAACUCAUGCAUGCGAUGUGCCUGUGGUCUAGAACUUAUUGCUUUGGACAAAAUGUUUAAUGAGGAAAAGUGUUUUCCAUCAACUUCUAAGAGAAGCUCUUCUCGUAGAGAAUGCUUUUCCUGGCUAGUCAAGCUCUGUGUCCUCUUUCUUCGAAGAAAGAAAGUUGAAGUGCUUUUAUGGGUGACCCUUGGAUGUACUUGCUUGCUACUUGGGGUUCUAUUUCUAUAGGGAAUAAUGGGAUGAGAGAAGCGAGAUAAAUUUAGUUUGAUGGUGAAAACCUAUUUGUUCUUUCUUGUCAUACUCUUUGUACUCUUUUUCUUUUGAUUAAGUGAAUUAUC